CUGAAGUUACAUUUUAGAUGCUGAAAUCACUGCACCUUAAAAACAAAACAAAAAAGGUUGAAUUGAAUUGCAUUCCUGUUCACAUGAUGGCUCCAGAAGUACCCCCUAGCUUGGAAUGGAAAUAGUUUAGAAACAACUUCUUAGACAGUUCUACAAACCUGAAGAAAGAGGCAACUGCUAUAACAUUUGGAAAAGAGGUGCUUUUUGCAUGUCCUUGCAUGUAUGUUUUCAAUUCUUUGGUUCUUUUAAAUAAUUUCUCAAAACCUAGACUGUAAUAAAUAGAAACCCAUCAGAAACCUACAUAGAAUUCCUUCUUUCAGACAUGUAACUCCUACAUGAGAUUAUUCAUGUGUGAAUGUAUACCAAGAAGUAAUAUAUUUCUUAUCAUGGUCCACAUAAGGUUUCUUUGACCUAUUGUAUAUGUUAAAUUUUGCAAUUAGCUCCUUGGUUAUCAUAUACCUCCAUUACUUUCAUUUGUGCUAUGUGUUUGUGGAAUAACAUAAAUAUCAUUGUACUGGGGUUUUUACAGAACUUAUAAAAUUCUUAGGAAUAAACAGUACUGUAAAUCAAAUCAAAUAAUGAAUGCAAAAAAAAAA